rnacentral:lncRNA from 1 species
AUGAGUUGGUGUGUUUUUAAGUUUCCAGACGUGGUAAAAGACUUUCCACAGUCUCCACAGCUGAACGGUCUCUCUCUGGUGUGGAUGAGUUGGUGUGUUUUUAAGCUUCCAGAGUGGAUAAAAGACUUUCCACACUCGUCACAGCUGAACGGUCUCUCUCCACUGUGGAGGAGUUGGUGUGUUUUUAAGUUUCCAGAGUGGGUAAAAGACUUUCCACACUCGUCACAGCUGAAUGGUCUCUCUCCAGUGUGGAUGAGUUGGUGUGUUUUUAAUGUUCGAGACUCGGUAAAAGACUUUCCACAGUCUCCACAGCUGAACGGUCUCUCUCCAGUGUGGAUUACUUGGUGUCUUUUUAAGUUUCCAGAGAGGGUAAAAGACUUUCCACAGUCUCCACAGCUGAACGGUCUCUCUCUGGUGUGGAUGAGUUGGUGUGUUUUUAAUGUUCGAGACGUGGUAAAAGACUUUCCACAGUCUCCACAGCUGAAUGGUCUCUCUCCAGUGUGGAUUAGUUGGUGUCUUUUUAAGUUUCUAGACUGCGUAAAAGACUUUCCACAGUCUCCACACCUGAACAGUCUCUCUCCAGUGUGGAUUAGUUGGUGUCUUUUUAAGUUUCCAGAGAGGGUAAAAGACUUUCCACAGUCUCCACAGCUGAAUGGUCUCUCUCUGGUGUGGAUGAGUUGGUGUGUUUUUAAGUUUCCAGACGUGGUAAAAGACUUUCCACAGUCUCCACAGCUGAACGGUCUCUCUCUGGUGUGGAUGAGUUGGUGUGUUUUUAAGCUUCCAGAGUGGAUAAAAGACUUUCCACACUCGUCACAGCUGAACGGUCUCUCUCCACUGUGGAGGAGUUGGUGUGUUUUUAAGUUUCCAGAGUGGGUAAAAGACUUUCCACACUCGUCACAGCUGAACGGUCUCUCUUCAGUGUGGAUGAGUUUGUGUGUUUUUAAGUUUCCAGACUCGGUAAAAGACUUUCCACACUCGUCACAGCUGAACGGUCUCUCUUCAGUGUGGAUUAGUUGGUGUCUUUUUAAGCUUCUAGACCUGGUAAAAGACUUUCCACAGUCUCCACAGCUGAAUGGUCUCUCUCCGGUGUGGAUGACCUGA